rnacentral:rRNA from 1 species
UGGGGAAUUGUUCGCAAUGGGCGCAAGCCUGACGACGCAACGCCGCGUGGAGGACGAAGGCUUUCGGGUCGUAAACUCCUGUCGUGCGGGACGAAUGGCUCUCCGGUGAAUAGCCGGGGAGUUUGACGGUACCGCGAAAGGAAGCCCCGGCUAACUCCGUGCCAGCAGCCGCGGUAAUACGGGGGGGGCAAGCGUUGUUCGGAAUUACUGGGCGUAAAGGGCUCGUAGGUGGCCUCUUAAGUCAGACGUGAAAUCCCUCGGCUCAACCGGGGAACUGCGUCUGAGACUGAAAGGCUUGAAUCCGGGAGAGGGAUGCGGAAUUCCAGGUGUAGCGGUGAAAUGCGUAGAUAUCUGGAGGAACACCGGUGGCGAAGGCGGCAUCCUGGACCGGUAUUGACACUGAGGAGCGAAAGCCAGGGGAGCAAACGG